rnacentral:tRNA from 1 species
GCCCGGGUGGCGGAAUGGCAUACGCAGUCGACUUAAAAUCGACGGCCGGCAACGGCAUGUGGGUUCGACCCCCACCCCGGGCA